rnacentral:lncRNA from 1 species
CCCAGGCUGGAGUGCAAUGGCGCAAUCUCGGCUCACUGCAACCUCCACCCCCCCGGGUUCACACCAUUCUCCUGCCUCAGUCUCCUGAGUAGUUGGGACUUUACCAAAGGGACAUCAUAAGACAGAAAUUGGGCCAGCUGUUGAGAAUUCAGAGAUGAAGACAGAGCUCUUGGCUUAAUGGAGUCCUGAUGUUAGUGAUGAUUAUAUUAAGGCAAUUUCUGUAAAAUGUUCGAUUUCCCUCCCUCCAGCAUCUUGGCUGGAUGUAAGUGAUUGUGUUCUUUUAUGUGAAGCUACCCUGGAUCCCUGCAAUAGUGUUAUUCACUGAGCAUGAAUAAUGGGUUGGUUAUUGGCAAUUCUGUAGAGCAGGAAUGACUAUUAGCGAACUUGGAGCUCACUAAAGGGAUAUCAGUUACUGGAAUGUCAAGAGGACAUAUCAAUCAAGAUCUCUCAUAAUAAGUUGAGGAGACAGCAUGUCUACAACUGAAAAUGUGGCAAGGGCAUGAUGUACGAGGAUGACGGGCAGAUGACUUCUGUGGAUGAUCCAGAGAAGGAGCCAUCACCGGGGACAACCCAGAUCAGGAACAGCUUCAUAGAGUACGUGUAGCGUGUCUUUCAAGGGGGCCUCUCCUGUGAAGCUUCCUGGAUGCUGGGAUCAAUUAUCGUGCUUAAGAGACCAGUGCUGCUACCACUGGCCGCAUCAAGGAACUGGAGCUGAGACUGAGAAUGCAAGCUGUGUUGAAGGGACUCUUUUCAUUGGCAUAAGGAAAUUAUGGAGUAAUACAGUAUGCACUGGAUCAACCAUUGUCUAUGCCUGGUAUUAUGACAAAAAGUGAUUGAUUUUGGCAUCAAAAUUAAAGUGUUCAUCUGGCUCAACUGUUCUUUGUACACCGUCCUUCAUUAUGACAAGUACGUAUAGCAAAGAUACUGCCUUCAGUGUGAACUGUUGAUUAUUGAUUAAGCAGAUCACAUUUGGAUAGGCUGCAAUUUCUGCGUGUUUAAUGGAUGGGAUCCUUCUGAGAAUGCUAGAGUAGGAAAUCAUGACACCGAGCCACUUCAGUCAUAAACCUUAUUCUUGCACUUUUUUUUCUUGCUGGUAAUUUUGUGUAGCAGGUUGGGAAAGCUACUCGAUGCUAGUAUAGACGAUACACCCAUAAUUUUGAUAAUGAGUUCUAGUAUGUAUUUUUCUUCUUGUAUCUUUCCUUCCUACCAUGAUACUAGUAAUUUGUAAGGGAUCUGUGUAGUUUGAAUGUAUUUUAAUAACUUUAGCUCUACAGUUUGAUUUGACCCAAAGAAGCCAAGAGGACAUAAGUAUUCCCAUUUAGAAGCCCAAAGUCAGUGAGAUGAAACCCAACAUCAAGAAAUUGAAGCAAAGUUACUUGUGGAUAAAGAAAGCAUUAGGUAGCUUGGCUAGAGCAUAAUUAGAUUUUCUGGCUUUCAAAAAUUUGGAUUACAAUAAGAGGAAAUUUUAUGCUAUUUUUACAAUUUUCAGUACAAAGGGG